rnacentral:rRNA from 1 species
GGAUGUGAUCAUACCAGCACUAAAGCACCGGAUCCCAUCAGAACUCCAAAGUUAAGCGUGCUUGGUCGAGAGUAGUACUAGGAUGGGUGACCUCCUGGGAAGUCCUCGUGUUGCAAUCC